GUAUAUUAAGUUGUUGCGGUUAAAAGCUCGUAGUUGGAUUUCUGUCGAAAACGGCCGGUCCGCACUAUGUGCGUGUAUCUGGUUCGGUUUUGGCAUCCUCUUGAAGAACGUGUCUGCGCUUGAUUGCGUGGCGCGGUAUUCAAGACUUUUACUUUGAGGAAAUUAGAGUGUUCACGGCAGGCAAGCGCCUUGAAUAUAUUAGCAUGGAAUAAUAAUAUAGGAUUUUGGUUCUAUUUUGUUGGUUUCUAGGACUAGAAUAAUGAUUAAUAGGGAUAAUUGGGGGCAUUUGUAUUAACGCGUCAGAGGUGGAAUUCUUKGAUUGCGUUACGACAAACUACUGCGAAAGCAUUUGCCAAGGAUGUUUUCAUUGAUCAAGAACGAAAGUAUGGGGAUCGAAGAUGAUUAGAUACCGUCGUAGUCUAUACCAUAAACUAUGCCAACUAGAGAUUGGAGGUCGUUCUUUUUAUGACUCCUUCAGCACCUUAUGAGAAAUCAAAGUCUUUGGGUUCCGGGGGGAGUAUGGUCGCAAGGCUGAAACUUAAAGGAAUUGACGGAAGGGCACCA
rnacentral:rRNA from 1 species